rnacentral:tRNA from 1 species
GCCUCAGUAGUGUAAUGGAUCAGCACGACAGACCGCAUAUUUGUAAGUGCGAGUUCGAUUCCCGCCUGAGGUU